rnacentral:rRNA from 1 species
CCUACGGGAGGCAGCAGUGGGGAAUAUUGGGCAAUGGGCGCAAGCCUGACCCAGAAACGCCGCGUGAAAGAAGAAGGCUUUCGGGUUGUAAACUUCUUUUCUCAGGGACGAAGCAAGUGACGGUACCUGAGGAAUAAGCCACGGCUAACUACGUGCCAGCAGCCGCGGUAAUACGUAGGUGGCAAGCGUUAUCCGGAUUUACUGGGUGUAAAGGGCGUGUAGGCGGGAAAGCAAGUCAGAUGUGAAAACCAUGGGCUCAACCUGUGGCCUGCAUUUGAAACUGUUUUUCUUGAGUACUGGGGAGGCAGACGGAAUUCCUAGUGUAGCGGUGAAAUGCGUAGAUAUUAGGAGGAACACCAGUGGCGAAGGCGGUCUGCUGGACAGCAACUGACGCUGAGGCGCGAAAGCGUGGGGAGCAAACAGGAUUAGAUACCCGAGUAGUC